CAAACGACAAUGAAAAGAAGAGUAAUGAUUGAUUUGUUUUCAGAGAGUCUCUGUUUGGUGGGAAGAGACAGCAGUUAAUUGUGAACCACAUCUUUGAGUCGAUCAGCUGAAGUUAGUAGGUUGGUCCGGUAGAGCCCGUUAACGCAGAGGUCAGAUUGACCAGUUGAGAUCGUUCGUUGUGAGACGACGAUAAAAAAAGGUGGAACCACGUAAUUACGUCCUUUAG
rnacentral:ncRNA from 1 species